rnacentral:rRNA from 1 species
UACGAAGGUGGCAAGCGUUACUCGGAAUUACUAGGCGUAAAGGGCAGGUAGGUGGUUUAAUAAGUCUGUUGUGUAAGCUCCCGGCUUAACUGGGAGAGGUCAACGGAAACUAUUAGACUUGAGUAUAGGAGAGGUUACUGGAAUUCCCGGUGUAGCGGUGAAAUGCGCAGAUAUCGGGAGGAACAUCAAUGGCGAAGGCAGGUAACUGGACUAUUACUGACACUCAGCUGCGAAAGCUAGGGGAGCAAACAGG